CAGUAGCCGCGGGAAUACGAAGGGGGCUAGCGUUGUUCGGAUUUACUGGGCGUAAAGCGCACGUAGGCGGAUCGAUCAGUUAGGGGUGAAAUCCUGGAGCUCAACUCCAGAACUGCCUUUGAUACUGUCGAUCUCGAGUCCGGAAGAGGUGAGUGGAACUCCUAGUGUAGAGGUGGAAUUCGUAGAUAUUAGGAAGAACACCAGUGGCGAAGGCGGCUCACUGGUCCGGUACUGACGCUGAGGUGCGAAAGCGUGGGGAGCAAACAGGAUUAGAUACCCGUGUAGUCCCUGUCUCUUAUAC
rnacentral:rRNA from 1 species